UUAUUACCAUAUUACACAUAUAAUUCAUGGUCAUGACCACCUCGAUUGGUCAUAAAACAUGCAUUCAACACACAUGACAUAUUACCAACGAUGCAUGGCAAACAAACAUAUUCAUAUCAUCACAUCAUAUGCAUUAAAACAUAACAUGAUUAGCUAAACUUACAAACCAUAAUCAAUAUGAGCAACCUCUCAUGGCCAUAUACAAUAGCUCG
rnacentral:lncRNA from 1 species